rnacentral:rRNA from 1 species
AGUGAACGCUGGCGGUAGGCCUAACACAUGCAAGUCGAACGGCAGCACAGUAAGAGCUUGCUCUUACGGGUGGCGAGUGGCGGACGGGUGAGGAAUACAUCGGAAUCUACUUUUUCGUGGGGGAUAACGUAGGGAAACUUACGCUAAUACCGCAUACGACCUACGGGUGAAAGCAGGGGAUCUUCGGACCUUGCGCGAUUGAAUGAGCCGAUGUCGGAUUAGCUAGUUGGCGGGGUAAAGGCCCACCAAGGCGACGAUCCGUAGCUGGUCUGAGAGGAUGACAGCCCAAAUGGAAACGAGGCAACGUCCAGACUCCUACGGGAGGGCGCAGUGGGGAAUAUUGGACCAUGGGGGGAAGCCUGAUCCAGGCAUACCGGGGGGGUUAAGAAGGCCUUCCGGUUGGUAAACCCUUUUGUUGGGGAAAAAAAGCAGGCGGUUUAAACCCCGCUGGUCUUACGGUACCCAAAGAAUAAGGAACGGCUAACUUCGUG